UAUGCAGUUCAGUCAUGAUCACGUUAAGUCAUUCUGUGUUACACGGAGGUUUGGAUUGGUUAGAAUAUUGACGUCAGAGUCAAUAGCGGCCGUGGUAUGCGAACUUUUUUCUUUCUUAGAUUAUAUAUAAACCUCAUCUGUCGCUGGUUCUCGCAACUAGCGAGAAAUGGUUAUUUUAUUAAUGAGUCGAAAGAGAAUAAUCAAAAAGUGCAAGUAGUGCGUUAACGUUGUAAGAGCUGCGUACUGACCCGUACAAAUAGCUCAGGUCUCAGCUGUUCUGGAUGUUCUUUGAUGGAACUCAAAAGAGUUUUUCUGCUUGGCGCAGUUUUGGCGUUUUUGUGGUACGGGCACCAUCGAUGGUUCAAAGAGAAGGAAAAGUUCCCUAUCCAAGAAACUGCGAAGACUCAGGAAAGAAUACCAGUGGAACACGACGAGAGGUUGGUUUAAGGGCAAGUGAGAAGAGACUAAGGCGCUUAUACGAGAAAACCUUAACAUCCCAAGAAACUUUAAAUGCGACAAAGCAACGAUGCAAGCCUUAGAGGACUCAACGUCAUCGUCAUAAUAUAUGGAACGAUGUAGAUAUAGCACAAGCAACGAUGCGAGCCUUAGAGAGCAUUCAACGUCAUCGUCAUAAUACAUAGAACGAUGUAGAUUUUUUAAUAGCAUACAUAGCACCUUGAUUAAAAAAACAAUUAAAAAUUAAACAAACCGGAUACAGUAAAAACCCGCGUAUAAAACAAGUGGAUUAAGAGCACCCAGGCCUGGUUUUAGGAAAUAAAAUACCAUUUAUAUAAGAACA